UACAGAGGGUGCGAGCGUUAAUCGGAAUUACUGGGCGUAAAGCGCGCGUAGGUGGCUUUGUAAGUCGGAUGUGAAAUCCCCGGGCUCAACCUGGGAACUGCAUUCGAAACUGUAUUGCUAGAGUAUGGAAGAGGGAAGUGGAAUUUCCGGUGUAGCGGUGAAAUGCGUAGAUAUCGGAAGGAACACCAGUGGCGAAAGCGACUUCCUGGUCCAAUACUGACACUCAAGUGCGAAAGCGUGGGGAGCAAACAGG
rnacentral:rRNA from 1 species